UUUCACGGGGAGGGCAACACAUUUUGUUACUUUGGUCUAAACACAAUAAUCAACUGUGUCCUUCCUCAAACUCAAAUGUUACUGACACAAACUUCUCAGGAGUCUCGGGAGUCAGGGAGGGGCUGCAAGUGGGGAUAAAGUGGGAGGACUCCUGUCUCCUGUAGAAGAGGUGCCGCACAGCUUUUACUAGCCUGCUGACUCACCUUUGCAAUGCAAACAACCCUCACCACCCCAUGCACCACCGCCUGGAACUUCUAAGAAGGAUGUCAUCAGGCCCCAGUACUGUGGCGGUGGACUUCUGGUCCGGAGAACUGUGGGAAAUGAGUUUCUAUUUUUAGCACCUGUCCUCUUCUGUUAUAGCAACAGAGACCAACCGAAACAGAGUUUCAACUAACGACCUUAUCUUCAAACUGGAAACAGAGUUUCAACAAACGACCGUGUCUUCAAACUGGAGGAAACAUGAACAGUAUAUGCUUUCCAGAGAUGUUGCUGUCAUCAAAAAUGGAGAAAGGAGAAAGAGAAGGACCUACUCCAGGCUGAAUGGGGCCAAGGAGGUGUGACAACUAAGUGUGCAUCGCUCCUAGAUCUGGUCACCCUGGACAGCAAGAAAGCAUGGUAGCUGGGACAAACCAGCCAGCUCUGGACAUAAACCACUCGACUCUGUGUAGUUCCUGCUGUACAGCUGAAAUGAUAGCCAUGCAGACCUUCAAGGGAUUGGGACCCUCUACAGACAAUGUCUGUCAGCCACGCCUGUUCCCUGCAGUGUGAGAGGCUUGUCCAUUUUAUGGCUGCUGAGAACUGACUGAUGACGCUCCCUUCCCUGUAGAUGCAUUAGACUCUCGUCAGAAAGGGUGCUGACUGGAGGGGCACCUCACCACGCAUGUCCUACGUCGUAAUUCUCAAUAGCUGCAGCCCCAGCCCCGCUCACUGCUUUCCGUAGUGUGGCCAUUCUGACUCUGUAGCUCCAGCGUAGGAAACAAAGUCUUGUCUGUGCAUGAAUCCAGCUGAACACAUCUGGUCCAUGUUGGUCAACUUGAAUAAAAGCCCUAGGCCUGCAUCACUGGCUUGUAACUCCGCUCAGUGGAAUACAUCUCAGCAAGUCUAUCUGUGCCUCAGUUUCCUUACCUGUUAUGACAACGAUGGGGCCCGGGGGGAAAGAACGCCCAGUCAAUAAAGUGCUGGCCACAAAAGCAUCAGGACUAGGUAGGAUUCAGUUCCCAGAACCCACAACGGAAGGCCAGUCAUGGUGGCACUUGUUUGAGAUGACAGUUCUGGGAAGGCAUUGAUGCAUGGAACCCUGUGGCCUCUUUCUCCAAAGCCCCACUCCUGGAAGGUACCUGACCUUGUUCACAAGUGACCUUGCUUACAAGUGUCUAUGGCCUAAGGUGGGAAAAGCUAGGAUGAUGACUACAGCCACAGGGUGUAGAGUUAGAGAGGUCCUUCAUCAGAGAGGUCCAUGGAGACAUUCUUAGCCAUGAAGAGUGUCACUACCUCACUUGUCUCUGUGGAGGAGUAGUGCCCACCUCCAGGGGCACAGAGUGAGGCUGGGCAAGGCCUAAGUAGAACCCUAAACCCUAGGCCAAGAUUGUAGUGCCUUCUUGAUGUCUGGGCACCAUCUAGUGUUGAGUAAGAGUAACUGAACCUCUAUCAUUGCAGCCAUGGAUAUAAACCACAGGUCUGUCAUACCUAUGGGCUCCAAUCAGAGCAAUACCUCUUUGUAGGCAUGGCUCCUGGGCCAUGGUCCCUUUGUGACAACCCAGAGGUCAGGUUCCACUGCCUUUUAGGGGAACAGGAGCCCGCUCUCUGAAUUCUUCAGCAACGUGUGAAGUCAGAAGUUCCAGAUUCUACUUCCAAGGCUCCUCAUAGCCCUGAGUGUGAGGACCUGAGCCCCUGUCAAGAGUUCUCCUCUUCUUAUUUUUAACUUAUUUUACUCCACGGAUCCCCAGAGAAACAGCAACAGAAGAUAUAAAAGACAGGACGGGCAGCCCUGCGUUUGGCCGUGCAUAUGUAUUUGCUAAAGGAAUCACUUCUUCCCAGCUCACAUUUUAUCUUUCCUUCUUUCCAAAUGCCCACAAUGUUCUACACAUGGUACUUAAUAUCCAAGAAUAGAAAGGCAGCAGAGAAUACAUAGGCUCUGCCUCGAGGGGCAAAACCAGCUGAAAAGAAAGGCUCUGACUGGGGAGAGAAGCGGAUGUGUUCAAUCUUUGAUAUCAUCAUCAGCAGGAUCCACCCAGCCCUGUUACAA
rnacentral:sRNA from 1 species